UAAUUUUAUUUUUAAUUUUAUUUUUAUUACUUAUUUAUAUAUUUAUUUAUUUGUUUUUAAGACGUAUUGACAACUCCUCCGUGAUGACGGGUUAAAAAAAAAAAAAAAAAGGAGGAGACGCGAGGUUUUUGGGGUGUGUGUGUUUAUGUGUGUGUGUAUCGGGUGUGACACCCCAGCCGCGCUCCUCCUUCAAAUCGCUCCGAGGGAGGUGAGCGGGGAACACUGGACCCCCUCCCCACCCUCUUCCCUCCUCGGGGACCCGCACAGCCCGGGGCUGCGGGAGGGGAGGGCGGGUGGCUGGAUGGGGAGCCCCCACCGCAUGCCCCCGCCGCGGUUCUUGCAGGAGCCGCCCCGAGUGGGUCUCAUCCUUCCCAUCCUCGGCAGGAGCACGGGGGACCACCCCAGGGAAAGGGGGGUCGGUCACGGCGGCAUCCUCCGGUGCGGGGUUCGCGGUCGCGGCGCCCGCCUCCACCCCCGGCACGGCGCUGGGGGGGGGGGCUCUGGGGCGCGGGGGGAGGCCGGAGGCUGGAAAGGUGAGAGCUUGGAUUGCCGGAGUGCCGAAAGGAAGCUGCCAUUUGCGAGCUGUGAGUGACGAGCGUGUGAAAAAGGACAGAUACUGUUCAGUGGACUUGGAAUUGUCUUUAGAGUUCAGUUAGAAGACGCACCCAGGACAUCCCACAUGGACCUCUUCACAACAACCACCGUGAUGUGAUGGGCAUACCAUUUGCAGGUACUAGGGUCUCCAAUCUGUCUAGCAUCUAGCCAGUAUCAAGGGGUUAGGAGCUACUGUGAUGCAUGAGAUGAGUCAUCUGCUGCUGAGAUCUUGGAAGCAAGACUAAUCAUUAACACACAUAUUGUUGGCAGUCUAAACUGUUCCCAUAUCACAACCCAGAGUUAUAGGAGACAGGAACUCUCACCUUGCCUAGCUGAAACGUCACUGCUCUCUGCAUUCUCACCACGGCAUUGCUCACACAGUGGAAUAAAUUGUACUUGCUUGGCAAAACAAAGCUUUUAGUUAGGCCAGCAAGAAGUUUCAGAGUCUCAGAGAACUCGGAGAAAUACUUUUUUAGAUACUUUUAUUAGUAGUAUUUUUUUAUUUUUUUUUAGACAUGGGGACUUUUCCUUUCAUGAACAGGUCUUCCUCAUAUUCCUUGAUUUUGGCCAACAAGGUUCACAAAGAGAAUGUGCUUCAAAGAGCUAUGAGUGGACAAGUACUAAAAUUCUGCGUAUUCCCACUGCAGUGGCUGUUAACCCUAGUAGAAAUUAGGCAGAUGCCUGCCCAAUAUUAUUAUUAGAUUUUAUGUUUCACACAAAUGAUAAAUCAUUGCUAUAAAUGUUGGAAAUAAUUUCUACCGUUAACAUUGAGAAUACAUGAUGUAUUGCUCCAAGAUGUAUUCCAUUUACAUCUCUUUCCAUCCCUUUUCCUUUGAUCUCUUUUCUUUUUCACGAUUUUUGUAGACUCUGUUUUGCUCUUCUUUCCAGAAUUAAAACUUCAUGUGGUAGUCCAGAGGAGGUCAGAUUAAACUUGUAUUAUGAAUACUUUGAAGAGACAUUUUCAAUCCAAGCAAGUAAACAAUUUCCAUUUUUGAAAUAAUAGGAAUUCAUAUCUGCCAACAUUACAUUCUGUCAAACAUUGAAUAGAGUUAAAAAAAUAAUAAUAAAAGAAACAUUUAGUUUGGUCCUAAAAAAAAAAAAAGUAUAUAUAUCUUUAAGACAUUAUACAUUUUAUUUUAUUUUGUUUUAAUUUUUUCUAAUACAUUUUUUCCUAUCAUUAAUGUAACAUUGUUUUUGGAAGUUACUAAUUACACUACUCUGAUAACCACAUGGGACCUUAAUUAAAGAUUGUAAUACACUGCAAAAUGUACAUGUGUAUAAUGAAAAGGCAAUUAAAAUAUGUUUUUAGAUAACUAGGUUUUAUUGCUUAGACUAAACCAAAUAGAUACAUUUUCUUAAAAAAAAAAAAAAAAAAAAAAAAGUCAUGAUAUUUCUCUGUGUUGCAGUUGUUCUCUGCUAUCCAGCAGUGAAAACAAUAAUUAUUAUCAGUUCUUCAUGUUCUUAAAGUUGGCAGUGAUAUUAGUUUGCAUGAAGAAUAUAGCCAUGCCAAAACACAGUUAUCACUUUAGAGGAGAGGCUGCCAAAGCCUCUGGUGAGACUUGCCAAAAAAACAGUCACAGUAGGGUGUCUUUAGGAGCUCUCUAUCCCUGUGCGUAUAGGUCUUGCUCUUAAGGAUAAUCACCUGCCACUGAAUGGAGCUAUUCACUGAGGCCAAGGGAGUGACUUAAAUACAGUCUCAAGCCUUUAAAAGCUGCAAAGGUGCCAAUGCUCUCACUUUAUCAGGAGUCUCCUGACACUUGGUUAACUUGGGCUCAGUGCCACAUUAACACUACCACCCAGCCUUGGAACUGAAGUUGCUUUGUAGCUGGCCAGCUGGAGUUUGGGAUAGGUUGACACAUGAAUCUUUAUAUCUGCAUCUACAGCCUUAUUCUCAGUCUUCAAAUGUAUCCAAAAAUGGAAUGCAAAUAAGAAAAGAAAAGAAAAGAAAAGAAAAGAAAAGAAAAGAAAAGAAAAGAAAAGAAAAGAAAAGAAAAGAAAAGAAAAGAAAAGAAAAGAAAAGAAAAGAAAAGAAAAGAAAAGAAAAGAAAAGAAAAGAAAAGAAAAGAAAAGAAAAAAAGAAAAGAAAAGAAAAAGAAAAUCUUACUGGAAAUCUAUGUCCCACUCUUUUUAUCAUCCCUCUUCUACAUUUUACAUGAGACAAGGUUAACUGAGCCCAGGAAAUGAAUAUGGUAUGGUGAACUCAUAUAUAUGUCACUCAGCUGAGAGCAAGUAGCUAGUUUCCAUGAAAAAAAUCUUGCUCUGAUGUGAAAGAAUUCAGAUGAAAAGAGUGAGAUGCUUAUUUUGAGAGCCUACACACCUUGGAGGAAUAAGCACCAAAGGGAAUGAGUUUGAAAAGUGGUGAUAAAUUCCACUCCCUGUCUAGGCUGGCAGUUAAACCAUUCAUCCAGUGCGCAGAUCUUCAAAUCUUGAGGCAAUUGAUGCUUCCUUCUUCCCCAUACAGCAGUGCCUCUCUGACCUCCUAAGAGAGGAGCAGGAUUUUGGUGACAAGAGUUACUGAUAAAUUUUUGCCUUUGCUCUUGAAAUUAAGUCAUUGUAUACAGAAGAGACAAGUGACUACAAAAAAAAAAAAAAAAAAGUUCUCCAACAGUCCUUUGAGUGGGAGAGAAAUGGAAUUCUAGUUCUCUCUCAGAAUAGAUAUGUAUUUCUUAUGCCAUUCAGUUACAAAGACCGAAGGAUAGGAAUAUUUCAAUGGCAGUAAACACCUGGGGAAAAAAAAAAAAAAAAAAAAAAAAAAAAAAAAAGACAGAUUUCCAUCUUUCCUAUUAAAUUUG